ACACGUAAGGGGCGAGCGUUGUUCGGAUUUAUUGGGCGUAAAGGGCGUGUAGGCGGUAAGGCAAGUCUGGUGUGAAAUAUCCCGGCUCAACCGGGGGAGCGCGCUGGAAACUGUCUUACUUGAGUGGUGGAGGGGGAGCUGGAAUUCCUGGUGUAGGGGUGAAAUCUGUAGAUAUCAGGAAGAACACCGGAGGCGAAGGCGAGCUCCUGGCCAUUUACUGACGCUGAGGCGCGAAAGCGUGGGGAGCAAACAGGAUUAGAUACCCUGGUAGUCCACGCUGUAAACGAUGUGCACCAGGCGUGGGACACGUCGGUGUUCUGUGCCGAAGUUAACGCGAUAAGUGCACCGCCUGGGGAGUAUGCCCGCAAGGGUGAAACUCAAAUGAAUUGACGGGG
rnacentral:rRNA from 1 species